rnacentral:rRNA from 1 species
UACGUAGGGUGCAAGCGUUGUCCGGAAUUAUUGGGCGUAAAGAGCUCGUAGGCGGUUUGUCGCGUCUGCCGUGAAAGUCCGGGGCUCAACUCCGGAUCUGCGGUGGGUACGGGCAGACUAGAGUGCAGUAGGGGGAGACUGGAAUUCCUGGUGUAGCGGUGAAAUGCGCAGAUAUCAGGAGGAACACCGAUGGCGAAGGCAGGUCUCUGGGCUGUAACUGACGCUGAGGAGCGAAAGCAUGGGGAGCGAACAGG